UAGGGAAUCUUCGGCAAUGGACGAAAGUCUGACCGAGCAACGCCGCGUGAGUGAAGAAGGUUUUCGGAUCGUAAAACUCUGUUGUUAGAGAAGAACAAGGACGUUAGUAACUGAACGUCCCCUGACGGUAUCUAACCAGAAAGCCACGGCUAACUACGUGCCAGCAGCCGCGGUAAUACGUAGGUGGCAAGCGUUGUCCGGAUUUAUUGGGCGUAAAGCGAGCGCAGGCGGUUUCUUAAGUCUGCUGUGAAAGCCCCCGGCUCAACCGGGGAGGGUCAUUGGAAACUGGGAGACUUGAGUUCAGAAGAGGAGAGUGGAAUUCCAUGUGUAGCAGUGAAAUGCGUAGAUAUAUGGAGGAACACCAGUGGCGAAGGCGGCUCUCUGGUCUGUAACUGACGCUGAGGCUCGAAAGCGUGGGGAGCAAACAGG
rnacentral:rRNA from 1 species